rnacentral:misc_RNA from 1 species
GAUGAUAUGGACAGACAAAAAAACAUUGUUCCGGACACAUAUUUGCUCCGUGAUAUGUUCCGGAUCUACCAGCGAUGUGACAAGAAGGACAAGUUGGCAGAUCUUUAUUACAAACUUGUGAAAAGAGGAGUCAUCUGGGAUCAGGAAAUGUACAGCUGUGUCAUAAACUGCUGUGCUCGUGCACUGCCAGUUGAUGAGCUUUCGAGGCUUUUUGAUGAGAUGCUUAAACGUGGAUUCUUACCUAAUACAGUUACCUUCAAUGUCAUGCUUGACGUAUAUGGGAAAUCCA